UACGUAGGGUGCGAGCGUUGUCCGGAAUUAUUGGGCGUAAAGAGCUUGUAGGCGGUUUGUCGCGUCUGCUGUGAAAAUCCGGGGCUCAACCCCGGACUUGCAGUGGGUACGGGCAGACUAGAGUGUGGUAGGGGAGACUGGAAUUCCUGGUGUAGCGGUGAAAUGCGCAGAUAUCAGGAGGAACACCGAUGGCGAAGGCGGCGAUCUGGGUCGAUACUGACGCUGAGGUGCGAAAGCGUGGGGAGCAAACAGG
rnacentral:rRNA from 1 species